rnacentral:rRNA from 1 species
AUGCAGGUGGUCACGGGUGCCAUUGGCAGCCUGCUCCCCAAGCUGGGGAAGCUGCUCAUGGAGGAGUACAACUUGCAGAAGAAGGCAAAGAAAGGUGUCGAGUCUCUCAUGCGAGAGAUGAAGACUAUGCACGCUGCCCUCUGCAAGGUAGCCGAUGUGGCGAGUGAUCAGCUCGACGAGCAGGUCAAGCUCUGGGCUGAUGAGGUCAGGGAGCUCUCCUACGACAUGGAAGACGUCGUUGACAAGUUCCUUGUGCGUGUUGAAGGCUCUAAUAAACCCGCUGAUGAUGGCAACAAGCUCACUAAUCUCGUGGAGAAGAUGGCCAACUUGUUCAACAACGGUAAGGCCCGCCGCCAGAUUUCUAGCGCCAUCAAGGACAUCCAAAAAGAUGUCCAAGAUGUGGCAGCCAGGCGUGGAAGGUAUACAGUCGAAGAUAUUGUGCCUAAGCCUGCAGCUAGGACAGCUAUCGAUCCUCGUCUCCGAGCUCUGUACACUGAAGUUACAGAGCUUGUCGGCAUCUAUGGGAAGAGGGAUCAAGAGCUUGUCAAGUUAUUGUCCUUAGAAGAUGAAGAUCCGUGCAAGAAGAGACUGAAGAUAGUCUCUGUAGUUGGAUUCGGAGGAUUAGGCAAGACCACUCUUGUCAGAACAGUAUAUGAUAAGAUCAAAGGAGGUUUCCAUUCUUGGGCUUUUGUUCCAGUUGGUCGGAAUCCUGACGUAAAGAAGAUAUUCAGGGACAUUCUCAUUGGUCUAAACAAGCAAAUUUACACUAAUAUCAAUCUCAUGGUAUUGGAUGAAAGGCAACUUAUUGAAGAAAUCCGUGAAUUACUUCAGGAUAAGAGAUAUCUCGUCAUAAUUGAUGAUAUAUGGGAUGCAAAACUAUGGGGAGAUAUCAAGUUGGCUUUCUCUAAUAUGAACAAUCUUGGAAGUCGACUAAUCACGACAACCCGCAUAUUGAGUGUAUCUAAAGCAUGUUGUCCUUCCACUCAUGAUUCCAUUUAUGAAAUGAAACCUCUCUCAGAUGACGACUCUGCAAGGCUCUUCUAUAAAAGAGUGUUUUCAAGUGAGCAUGGUUGUCCUAAUGAACUUAAGAAGGUAUCUAAAGAUAUAUUGAGGAAAUGUGGCGGUGUGCCACUAGCCAUCCUUACUAUUGCUAGUCUUCUUGCUGCUGGUCAACAGAUAAAGCCAAAAUUUGAACGGCAUGUUCUGGUAAACUCAAUUGGUCGCGGACUUACAGAAGAUGUAAGUAUGGAGGAAAUGCAGAGGAUACUAUCAUUUAGCUAUUAUGAUCUACCUUCUGAUAUGAAGACUUGUUUAUUAUAUCUAAGUAUGUAUCCUGAAGACCAUGAGAUUGACAAAGAAGAACUUAUAUGGAAGUGGAUAUGUGAAGAAUUUGUGCAGCAUGGAAAGCAACUAACUAGCACAUUUGAGAUUGGGGAAACUUAUUUCAACGAGCUGAUAAAUAGAAACAUGAUUCAGCCAAUAUACACUGGUUUUUGUGAAGUAAAAAGUUGCCGUGUGCACGAUAUGGUGCUUGAUCUGAUUCGUUCCUUGUCAGGUGAAGCAAAGUUCAUUACAGUAUUGGAUAGUAAUAAGGAUAUGACGUGUUCUCGUGGCAAUAUCCGUAGGAUAUCUCUCCAAAAU